UUUAUGCUCUAUUCUUUCUCUUCCAAUGUUUUAUUUACAAGAAUUUGAUCUACAACUCCCUGUGAUAUUAAGUACUUGUAGGAUUGAUUUUAGCUGUUUUUCUGAUUUUGAAUUGAAAUACAAAUAUUUUUAUGUUGUGUUGAUUUUUAGUUUGUUCUUAAAGACUGAUUUUCUUAUUCAUAUAGACACAUUCACUAACAUGUGAUUACUUUUCCUUUUUAUUACAAGUUUUGAAGAUUUCAGGCGGUAGAAACUUGUAAGAGGAUGGCAUGUGAUUAUUUUGACAAGAUUCAAGAAAUCACAAUUAUACCAACUAUGAUUUCCUUGAUUAAACAUAUAAGUGUCAAGCUAUUGGAAAGAAUUCAUGUGUGACAGUAUUGUAUAAAGCACUUAAUCUCCUACUACUAAGCAAGACAAGUGGAAAAGCACUAAAGGAUAGAGAUAUCCAUCUAUUGACAUCUUCUGAGCUACCAUUCUACGCAUUUAAUAAGGAGACAAUGAAUUAUAAGCCAUGUGUACUUAAGGAGUUAUGUUCAAGUAUAAAAAAGGGUGAGAAUCAUGCAUGUGAAAUAUGUUUUCAAGAAAAAGAUGUCGUGGAAGUGACCAAGUGUCUAGAAAAGUCCAUGUGCCUUAAGGAUGAGGAUAAGGACGAAGCAAUAAUAGAGUCAUGAAGUAGAUAAGAGUGAAUUCAUUUGUCAUGUAGUAUUUAAGUGUCUUAAAUAAGUGGUACUAUAGAUGAAUAGUACUAUGCAUUAUUGUAAGUAGAAAAUAAUAUUCUAAUGUGUGUUUAGGGCUGUAAAUAAGUGCUUCUACGAUGGGAAGAGGCAAGGUGUAGAAAACAACCCUUUGUGUAAGUUUCUCUUUAGAAACAUAUGUUAAUCCUUUAGGAUUUAGCUUGGCACCUUUUGUGUGCAAUGUUGUAACAUAAACUUAUAUCAAUAAAACCAUGUUUCUACUUAUUCAAGAAUAA